AACAAGAGAAAAUUAUGCUAUCACCAAGUCUUCCAUUGAAACUUCGAGGAAUAGUUUUGUAUUUGGGAAGAAUAAGCAAAGUUUCCACAUAUAACAUUGCAUUUUGAAUUUCAUUAAUAUGCAUUGCAUGUUUUGAGAAGAAUAAAUUGCAAUGAAGCACAUUGCAGGUGGAUUAAAUGUAACCUGGAAACACACCAAACCCAAGUAUUAGUAGAGGUAAGAUUAUUUAUAUUAUUUUUUCCCUCAUGUCUCUUGGAUUAGGCUACACGUACAGUGCAAUUAAAAAAAAAAGCUACAGUAAACAGAAACAACAGCAUUGAAAGCAUUUAAAAUUAAACAAAGUAACAAUCUCAAUCCCUAAGAGCUAUACCUUCAACUUAAAUCACUAGAUAUCACAUAAGUGAAAAAAUCAACUUUAAAACCUAUUGAGAGAGAGCGAGAGAGAGAGCUCAAAAACUCAAAAACACAUCUUAAAUCCUUCAACCUCUGCGUACAAUAAGUAAGAAGUAACUCUGCGACAGAAUGAUGAGACGACAAAGAUAUGACGUUGCACGGCGACGGGCUGUGAGAAAACCGGAAGGAAUUGCUAAUGGCCCACGACAACGGUUGUAAGAACACGGCAAAGAGUUGCUAAUGGGCAACGAAGACGGUUGUGAGACAAACGAUGGAAGUGAGAGAGAAGAAAGAUAAUGGUAGUUGGGGGGAUGUUGAUGUUAUUAAUAAUUUUUACUAGUUAUAUUAAGUUACUGAUAUUAUACAAGGCAACUUUAUUGUUGAUGUUAUUAAUAAUUUUUAAUGAGUGGUGCUAUUGCCAAAAUCAUAAGCGAUUUUGGAGAUGGAACCGGCGAUUUUUGCCCUAGUUUGAAGCUCAAACAGACUGACUAUAUCAUGCCAAGAAAGAAUUUCCCAGUCUGGGAUUUGAUAUGCCAAAAUCAUAAGCUCAUAAAGGCAGACAUACAUGAAUGGUAUGAUGGACAAGAGCUGCAACAUGCGCUGCUCCAACUUAUUAACUCAAAUGUUAUUAUUUCUAAAGAACAACACGACGGCGACGACAAUGGCGAUUCCACUCAGCUAGUUACAGUUGACUGCAAGCUUCAUAAAAUUCCAGUCUCUACCCAUUGAGUGUAGCAGAUAUUAUCAAUGUAGCCGAUGUUGUAGAAUUGAUGUUAAUGUCACAUUUCAUCCGGCUGGUUUCAGCCUUAGCAAUUAAUGUUCAAGGUGUUUGUUGCUGAAUGAAAUUGAAUGAAAAUUUACAAAUAUAAGAUGGCUUCAAUUUUUUAUUUUAUUUUAUUUUAUUAUUAUUUUAGUUUGCUUGUUGCCUUGUUAAAGUUCUGGCCACUUAAGACAGUUAUACAAAUGAGAUUGAAAAAAGGGGAUCCCAAAUCAUGUAAUCAUGAAAUUAAUGGAAUGAAAAUGACUAGUAAUAUAAUUCGAGAAAGGUAUAUAUAGAAUUGCUAUCUAAUUGACUCUUGCUACACCGAUCGUUCCUCGCAUAUUAGCCAUAAUUUUGAAUUAUUUAGGAUAAAUUUUAGAUUAUUCCACUCAUGAAUUAACUAUCUUCAAAUUAUUUCUUUAUUUUUUAAAACUUAAAGUUACUCCCUAAAUCUUAUUAUUUCCCAUUAAUUUUAAUGAUUAAAAGGAUAAAUAGUAUUUAAAAAAUUUGAAACAUUCAAUUAAUUGAAAGAAAACAAACUUUUCUAUUUUUUUUCACUCUUUUAUAUUUAUUAUUAGACAAAAUGACUAAUACUCCUUACUUAUAUUUUGGAGAACAAAGAUACUUCAACAUAAAUUAAAUUAAUUUUCAGUUAAUUUCAAAAAAAUCAAAAUUCAUUUGUUAAUGUUCAUUCACCUUCAUCUAAUAAAACUCACUCUCUUCUAUAUAUAAAUACAGCACAACCGCAACAUUCUCUCUCCCAAAAUUUUUGUUGAUAAAUAAUUUUAAAUCAACAAUCCGUAAAUAAAAACUAAAGUAAAACUAAAAUCUAAUUAAAAUCUAAACAAGUUUUGCAAUAACUUGAUUAGUUUUGAAGUCAAAAUUCCAUAUUUGAAAAUGCUCUGAAUAGUUAUCGAUUAUAGUUGAUUGUCAUGGUCAAGAAAAUUCUAAGAACUCAAAGGCAAUCAAAGCCGUGGCCAUGGAUACCAAACCCAUGGCUGCUUAAAAAUCGAUAAUUAACAAAAAAAUUGUUAAAAAGGAGACAUUUUUGUUCUUUAGCAAAUCAACUACGGUCAAUUGUUAAAGUAAGUUAUUUUAAGGUAAUUUGAAAUUUUCAAAUGUAAGGAGGUAAUAUAAAGAUAAUCAAUUCACAUGGGUGGAGUAAUCUGAGACUUACCCAAUUAUGUAUAUUGAAUAGACGUAUGGUUGAAAUUUAUAUAACUUUUUGCAUUUUAUUUCUUAUGUUUUACAUAUACAUGAGGAACUUAAUAUAACCCAGAUUACUUGCAUGAUUAACACAUAAUUAUUUGUAAUCUACGCAUAUUAUGCCCAAAAAUUUUCAAUUUUAAUUUUGAUGAGUAAGUAAUACACAGAAACUUGUCUGCAAAAGGUAUAUAUCAAAUAGAAAUAGACCACUCCAUUGAAAUUAGCUUUUGAAUUAUCUUGAAAUUGAAAGGCCAUUCAUAGAUUUAGUGCUCUUUUACUUUUGCUGUAUUCAGAAUUUGUCAGCUUCUCUCAUAAAUUAUCCACAAGAUUAAUUAACACUCCUGAAAGUGUUUUCCUGAAAAUGAUCUUAACUGAAUGAAUAUGGCAAUAUGAAAAGAUGCAAUUGAAUUUCCAGUUAACAAAAAGCAUAGUAGGAUUCACUUAAUAGCCUAAAAUGGUAAGAAUUAAUUGCUACAGUGAUUGAUUUCUUCGAAAGCAUAUGACAGACAUACUUCCAAAUCUUGACUGCAAAUCACAAUAGCCUAACAAGUCUAUUGCAAAUCAUGAACAAAUCCACUUUAACAAAAGGGUGUUUGAAACCUAAUCUUCCAAACAGAGAAAUAAUAAUGUCGAGCAAAGGUACCCAGCUGCAAUUGUCUUAUUGUACAAUGCACAAUGAUCCAUUUUGCUGAUUCUGGAUUUGUUUCUUUCAAUCUCAUAUUAUUCAACAUUUAAUGAUAUUCAGCUCACUAUUUUACGUAAACUUUAUUACCACAUUGUUGCACUUUUUGUUACUUUUGGGGUUUGUCGUGUUGACUCACCUCCAACAUAAGGCACGCCAAAGCAUCCAGAGGCCAGGCCUAGAGUCCCUCUCCGAGAGCAGUCAUUACACUAUUGUACAUAAAAUUGAAUCAUAUCAUAAGCAAACAACAAAAUAUGUUAUGACUAAGAAGGAUUGCACAUACAUUAAUAAGACACAAGCAGCCAUCAACAAUAAACAGAACCAAAAGCAUAGGCAGGAAUUGCUAUUAGAUACUUGAAAUUGGUACCUUAAUUGCAGCCUAAAUUGUUGACAAAUUAGCUAGCUCAAUUGCACAUUUGAAUUGAAGGAUGCAUAAUUGACUCCCAAGACCUGGGUUAAUUUGUACCAACCAAUAUGUUCGGAAUCAAUCAAACAGUGGCUGCCAAUUGUGUUUCUAUAAACCAGUCAUUAGAGAACUAUUAAUGCAUCUAAAUCAAUCAAACAGUGGCUGAUGUGCACGCCGCGCACAAACAUGAUUAGGUAUAGAUUGCUACAACUAAUAGUUUUUGUUCUCGGGGCUUAGUUUUUCGUAGUAGCAUUUAAGAAAGAUUAAGUAUUACGUGAAUGGAAUUUGAAUUGACUAGCAGUGGUACUGCCCAGAUCUGAAGUGCAUUUCAACAACGAGUUUCUAUGAUAAUAGACACCAGAUCUGAAGUGUGUACACAAAACUCGUAAAAAUAACAUCCGAAAGAAAUAUAUCUAUUAUACCUGAAGUGCAACCUUGGAUCCAACGAAAAGAGGGAUCCAUUUGCUGUGCUCCAAACGGCAGCCCUCUGCGGUGCACUUGAACUGAAAAAAAAAUUAAAAAAAAAAAAAGAAAUCCCUAAGGAAGAUAGUAAACUUAUUACCUUCAGCCAGUACGGGAAUUCCGUAUCCUCAAAAUCUGGUUCCAUUCUCGCAACUUUUUCAAGUUGAGCGGAAAUUUUCAGAGAAAAGCGCUCGACUCCCAUGGCUUUCGCGGUGACUGGAUGGAGAAUUAGAGAAGAAAAUGUCCUUUGAAUCUUUGAGUUUUAUAGGGCUGGGCCUUACUCGGUUCGAGUCGGUUUUGGAAACCAAUCGGUUCUUUAAAACUGAAACCAAACACGAACCGAAUAGGAGACCGAACCGAAUCAAAUUAAUUCGGUUCGGUUCAGAUCGGUUCAAUUUUUCCCCUUUCUAAUUACUCAAAAUUUUCAGCCUAAAUUUAAUUCUUUUUACAUCCUAAUUUAAAUAUAACCACACAAAACUUUAUAUAAAAUUUUCAUGUAAUUGGUUAAUUACAAUUAAUCAAUAUUUUUUAAAACGAAUUUUAGAAUUUAAAUGAAUCAUCUUCAACUUCAUGAUAGACAGGAGACUCAUUCUCAUCUUGAAUUUUGUCUUAUUUUGAAAUUUGAACUCUUGCUUGAAGACUUAGAUAUCUGCAAGGAUGAGUUAAUAUGAAAGAAAAUAGAUAAUUGAUUAAUCAAGCAGCAUUAAUGAAGAUAAAUUUAUUCCAUGUUUUUAUUCUUUACGUUUACAGACAUUAUAAUUACAUUUAUAUAUUUAAUAGAGAAACAUAUAAUUCAAAUUGUCUAACAAGAGAAAAUUAUACUAUCACCAAGUCUUCCAUUGAAACUUCAAGGAAUAGUUUUGUAUUUGGGAAGAAUAAGCAAAGUUUCCACAUAUAACAUUGCAUUUUGAAUUUCAUUAAUAUGCAUUGCAUGUUUUGAGAAGAAUAAAUUGCAAUGAAGCACAUUGCAGGUGAAUUAAAUGUAACCCGGAAACACACCAAACCCAAGUAUUAGUAGAGGUAAGAUUAUUUAUAUUAUUUUUUCCCUCAUGUCUCUUGGAUUAGGC
rnacentral:lncRNA from 1 species